GAGUAGCUGGGACUACAGGCGCCCGCCACCACACCCAGGAAUCCAACUUGCUGUUUGCUAUCACAUGUGCUAUACAUGCUGUUGAUGAAACUGCUAAAGGGGCUGAAUGUGACUGACGUCUUUGGAAGGAUGAGACUUAGCGUGCCUGUACAGUUGUGUCCAAAUGCUGUCCUCAUCUCCCAAUGAAAAGCUGAACUAGGGCCAUGCCUGGGACAGACAGAGAAUGGCCUUCCAGCAGACAUGCCAAGAAGCAAGCCAGGGUCAGUGAGUGAAGAGGAGGGCAGGCCCAUUUGAAGCAACACAGUUUAUGUAAGUGUGAUCUAACUGCUUUCACUGGAAAUGGGUCAGACUCCAGUUGAGAGAACCAGGGGCCUGAAUGACCCCAGCAAAAUCACUGUGGCAAUUCUUUCAAUCACCUCUGAGAAUAUGGCCCUGUGACGACAUAAUGACGUUUGGAUUAAUUCCAGUCGGCUGUGUUUUCCCCUCCUUUCUUGCCUCCCCGUAGUUGAUUUGCCAAAUUUUUUUUGUUUGCUUAAAUACGCGGAACUAAACAGGAUACAUUAUAUGACAGUCUGUGAUAAAUUUACCACUGGGAAUAGGGAAAAAGUAUGGGAUAAAGAAAUAGGUAUUUUUCGCCUCUCACAGCUGUGAUUCAGUUCUGACUCAAAAGGAAGUGUGCCACCUACUGAAUCACAGAAACCACUUCCUGUGGCUGUUUGGUUUAUUCUGGAGGAGCAUCAGGCCAAGUGCUGCCCUGCCCUGACCCUGACUGGCUCUUCAGAGCCAAGGCAUUCACAGCUUGAGGUGGUUUGGCCUCAGACUCUUGAGAACAUUGCAUAUUAAAUUACAAGUGUUUCGUUUCCUAGCAAGGAGUCUUUAGCAACAUGAAAACGAACGUGUGUUAUUUGCAAACCAAGUAUAUCAUUACUGAACCUGAAUAUCCUUACUUUUUCAUAAGGUACGUAUUCCGGAUGACCACUCUUAAGAUCUGAAUGUACACUGGUUCUGUUUUUCCUGAGGGGAACUUGGGCAGUCUGCAGGGUGGCAUUUACCAGCUGAGGGACUUCAAGAGCACCCUUUAAUCAGUGUGGCAGCACUCAACUUGUAUUCACUCACUCAGAGUAUUUUUGAGCAUGUACUUAUUGCCAUGUGCUGUGCUAGGUAGGGGUAGAGGGUACAGUGGUGAACAAGACCCCACAGCUCCUGACCUCAUGGCUCAUGUGUUCUACACCAUAAGGGAAUCAAGCUGUGUCUCCCGGGGCAGGGGCCUUCCUCUGUUCACCAUGCAGCCCCAGCAUCUAGCACCUGGCGUUGCAUAAAGGAGGCUCUAAAUCAAGCUUGUCCAACCCAAGGCCCACGGGCCACAUGUGGCCCAGGAUGGCUUUGAAUGCAGCCAAACACAAAUUUGUAAACUUUCUUAAAACAUUAUAAGAUUUGUGUGUAUGUGUUUUAGUCCAUCAGCUAUUGUUAGUGUUCAUGUAUUUUAUGUGUGGCCCAAGACAAUUCUUCUAUGUGGCCCAAGGAAACCAAAGAUUGAACACUCCUGCUCUAAAUACUUGUUUGUUGAAUAGAUACAUGAAAAGAAAGAAGGAGAGAAGGAAGAAAGGAGGGCGGAAGGAAAGGAAGAAGGGAGAGAAGAAGAGAAGAAAGAAGCAGAGAAAGGAAGAGAAAAGAAAUUACGGCCAGUGCGGUGGCUCACGCCUGUAAUCCUAGCACUUUGGGAGGCCUAAGCGGGCUGAUCACCUGAGGUCAGGAGUUCGUAAGCCAGCCUGGCCAACAUGGUGAAACCCUAUCUCUACUAAAAAUACAAAAAUCAGCAGGGCAUGGUGGUGCGUGCCUGUAAUCCCAGCUACCUGGGAGGCUGAGGUAGGAGAAUCGCUGGAACCCGAGAGGCGGAGGCUGCAGUGAGUUGAGAUCAUGUCACUGCACUCCAGGCUGGGCAACAGAGUGAGACUCUGUCUCAGAAAAAAAAAAAAA
rnacentral:lncRNA from 1 species